GACGAACGCUGGCGGCGUGCUUAACACAUGCAAGUCGAACGGAAAGGCCCUGCUUUUGUGGGGUGCUCGAGUGGCGAACGGGUGAGUAACACGUGAGUAACCUGCCCUUGACUUUGGGAUAACUUCAGGAAACUGGGGCUAAUACCGGAUAGGAGCUCCUGCUGCAUGGUGGGGGUUGGAAAGUUUCGGCGGUUGGGGAUGGACUCGCGGCUUAUCAGCUUGUUGGUGGGGUAGUGGCUUACCAAGGCUUUGACGGGUAGCCGGCCUGAGAGGGUGACCGGCCACAUUGGGACUGAGGUACGGCCCAGACUCCUACGGGCGGCAGCAGUGGGGAAUCUUGCGCAAUGGGCGGAAGCCUGAUGCAGCAACGCCGCGUGCGGGAUGACGGCCUUCGGGUUGUAAACCGCUUUCGCCUGUGACGAAGCGUGAGUGACGGUAAUGGGUAAAGAAGCACCGGCUAACUACGUG
rnacentral:rRNA from 1 species